rnacentral:rRNA from 1 species
AGUCGACGAGUCGCCGCAAGGCGGCUAGUGGCAGACGGGUGAGUAAUGGUAAGGAAUCUACCCCAAAGUGGAGGACAUCUCGUCGAAAGACGGGGUAAUCCUGCAUAAUACCGCAAGGUUAAAGGGCGUAACUGCCCGCUUUGGGAGGAGCCUUACUCCUAUCAGCUAGUUGGUAGGGUAAUGGCCUACCAAGGCUAUGACGGGUAGCUGGUGUGAGAGCAUGACCAGCCACAAUGGCACUGAGAUACGGGCCAUACACCUACGGGUGGCAGCAACCAGGAAUAGUCGACAAUGGACGAAAGUCUGAUCGCGCGACGCCGCGUGAGGGAUGAAGCCCUUCGGGGUGUAAACCUCUUUUGCCUCGCUAUCGAGGCGGGGCGAAUAAGCACCUACUAACUACGUGCCAGCAGUCGCGGUAAUACGUAGGGUGCAAGCGUUAUCCGGAUUUACUGGGCGUAAAGUGUCGCGUAGGCGGUUUACUGCAUCUUACUUCAAAUAUCUCGACUUAAUCGGGAUUCGGGUAAGAGAUGGGUAGGCUUUGAGACUCGGUGGAGUUUCCGGAACUUCCGGUGUAGCAGUGAAAUGCGUUGAUAUCGGAAGGAACACCAAGAGCGAAGGCAGGAAACUAAUCGAAGUCUGACGCUGAGGCACGACAGCUAGGGGAGCGAAGCAGAUUAGAGACCUGCGUAGUCCUAGCCGUAAACGCAUCCCUGCUAGAUGCUUUGAAUUAUAUCACGGUGUCGUAAGUUAACACGUUAAGCAGGGCGCCUGGGGAGUACGGUCGCAAGGCUAAAACUCAAAGGAGUUGGCGGGACCCGCACAACCGGUGGAGCAUGUGGUUUAAUUCGAGACGAAACGAAAGACCUCACCACGGUUGGACAUGCUAUCGUACA